UGGCGCCCGUCCUGGGGCUCCUGGCAAGAAGGGCUCAACGAGGGAGCUGUCCUGAGACACAUGCGUAAAAGAGAAACUAAAAGUUUUGUGACCAACACUACGUGGGAGCCUGCUGUGCCAGAGUUUCCCUUUUCUCUGGCAUGGGUCAGGCAUUAAGUGACCAUAAUGCUUUGUACCAAGUUUAAGUAAAGCUUUAAAGACAAGAGGGAGAAAGCUAAAGAAAAAGAUUCAUUGCAGUAUUUUCAAUUUAUUCAUAAGGUUUGCCCUU
rfam:Cavia porcellus supercont2_52 genomic scaffold, whole genome shotgun sequence.